GAAUCUUCCGCAAUGGACGAAAGUCUGACGGAGCAACGCCGCGUGAACGAUGAAGGCCUUCGGGUCGUAAAGUUCUGUUGUUAGGGAAGAACAAGUAUCGGAGUAACUGCCGGUACCUUGACGGUACCUAACCAGAAAGCCACGGCCAACUCCGUUCCCGCAACCGCGGUAAUACGUAGGUGGCAAGCGUUGUCCGGAAUUAUUGGGCGUAAAGCGCGCGCAGGCGGUCCUUUAAGUCUGAUGUGAAAGCCCACGGCUCAACCGGGGAGGGUCAUUGGAAACUGGGGGACUUGAGUGCAGAAGAGGAAUGCGGAAUUCCACGUGUAGCGGUGAAAUGCGUAGAGAUGUGGAGGAACACCAGUGGCGAAGGCGGCUUUCUGGUCUGUAACUGACGCUGAGGCGCGAAAGCGUGGGGAGCAAACAGG
rnacentral:rRNA from 1 species